CCUACGGGAGGCUGCAGUGGGGGAUAUUGCACAAUGGGGGAAACCCUGAUGCAGCGACGCCGCGUGUGGGAAGACGGUCUUCUGGAUUGUAAACCACUGUCCCCAGGGACGAAAAUGACGGUACCUGGGGAGGAAGCUCCGGCUAACUACGUGCCAGCAGCCGCGGUAAUACGUAGGGAGCAAGCGUUGUCCGGAAUUACUGGGUGUAAAGGGAGCGUAGGCGGGGAUGCAAGUUGGGUGUCAAAACUACCGGCUCAACCGAUAGUCGCACUCAAAACUGCAACUCUUGAGUGAAGUAGAGGCAGGCGGAAUUCCUAGUGUAGCGGUGAAAUGCGUAGAUAUGAGGAGGAACACCAGUGGCGAAGGCGGCCUGCUGGGCUUUUACUGACGCUGAGGCUCGAAAGUGUGGGGAGCAAACAGGAUUAGAUACCCUAGUAGUU
rnacentral:rRNA from 1 species